UACGUAGGGGGCAAGCGUUAUCCGGAAUUACUGGGCGUAAAGCGUGCGCAGGCGGUUAUGCAAGACAGAUGUGAAAUCCCCGGGCUCAACCUGGGAACUGCAUUUGUGACUGCAUGGCUAGAGUACGGUAGAGGGGGAUGGAAUUCCGCGUGUAGCAGUGAAAUGCGUAGAUAUGCGGAGGAACACCGAUGGCGAAGGCAAUCCCCUGGACCUGUACUGACGCUCAUGCACGAAAGCGUGGGGAGCAAACAGG
rnacentral:rRNA from 1 species